UACAGAGGUCCCGAGCGUUGUUCGGAUUUAUUGGGCGUAAAGGGUGCGUAGGCGGCGGAGUAAGUUGGGUGUGAAAUCCCGGGGCUCAACCUCGGAAUGGCAUUCAAUACUGCUUCGCUCGAGUACUGGAGAGGAGGCUGGAAUUUACGGUGUAGCAGUGAAAUGCGUAGAUAUCGGGAGGAACACCAGUAGCGAAGGCGGUUCUCUGGGCCGGUACUGACGCUGAGGAGCGAAAGCGUGGGGAGCAAACAGU
rnacentral:rRNA from 1 species